ACAGAUUAGGGUUUGAAGAGAAUCUGAGAGAGAGAGAGAGAGAGAGAGAGAGUGAGAAUUGAGAGAAGAUGUGGGCGACGCCGAUGCCGAUGGUGACGGUUGAAGACGAAGGUGGCCACCUGUGGACGACGGCUGACGUGGAAGGUCGCCACAUGGGACGACGGCUCACGUCAGAGAUCGGCACAGGUGAGAGAAGAAUUCAAUUAAAUUACCUUGUUAUUCCAAUAAUCGAGAGUGCUAGUGGUUUGUAGCCCCAAAUGUUCCUUUACCUCCAAUCGGAUUCUCAAAACAUGCCUCCAAUAUUUUGUGACCUUCGUCGUCAAGAUCACAAAAUAUUGGAGAUAUGUUUUGGGAAUCCGAUUGGAGUUAAAGGGACAUUUGGGCUACAAACCACCCAAAUACACUGUUCUCAAUCCACUCUCGAUUAUUGGAAUAACAAGGUAAUGUAAUUGAAUUCUUCUCUCUUUUUCUUUUUGUCCAAUGAAGAACUAUUCAUUUAAUUAGCGCUGAGUAAUUAAUUAGAGCUGUUCUGUUGUUUGAUUUGUGGAAGUGACAUUCUAAUGAAAAUUGAGUCAUGGGCAGUUGAAAAAUAUGUUAGAUUCUUUGUAUCUCUACUCUUGUAUGUUAGUGUUACUUAUCAUGUUUAUCCUUAAAAGUGUUUCAAUUAGUGGCAAGAAUUUAAUGUUUAUAUUAUUUCACUGAAAUGUAGAUAUAACCAACCUCAGUUCGAACGAUUGGCAUCAGAAUUGCAAGCUCAGCUGGAAGAAUUGGUGGAAUUUUAUGUCCUCUUGUGGCAGUGGGUUCUUGUACAUGAUUGUCAUCAAACAGCAUCCAUUGUUCUUUUUGAGAUUUUCAUGUAUUUUUGUAGUGCCAUUCGCUGUGAAUUGAGUGAUACUGUAUCUAGUCCAAAACAUAUUGCUGAAUCGGCAUGAAUUAACCACAGAAAAUUCACGCUCAGCCCCUCCGAUAUACAAUGGCAUUUAACUUUAGCCUUCUGUUGUUUA